rnacentral:rRNA from 2 species
AAAAAUGACUCUCGGCAACGGAUAUCUCGGCUCUUGCAUCGAUGAAGAACGUAGCGAAAUGCGAUACUUGGUGUGAAUUGCAGAAUCCCGUGAACCAUCGAGUCUUUGAACGCAAGUUGCGCCCAAAGCCAUUCGGUUGAGGGCACGCCUGCCUGGGUGUCGUG